AAAAGAUGGUGGGAGAGCCUGCAAUGUCCAGUCUGAAGUCUGAAUAUAAUUGAUUGGGGAUAUCGCGUUAGAGGAAGGUUCGGAUAUGAAUCUGCUGUCGGAAUGAACAUUUUGAAAUGUGAUGCGAUGGUCGACGAUUGGUAUUAAAAUUUCCAUUUAUUCAAACUUAUACUUCUAAUUACAGUUGUUAUUGCGACAAACGGCAUAUUCCAUCAUUUUUUUUCUCUCCUUUUUUUCUGGCGUCAACUGGUCAUGUGAUUCCCAAUAACCAAUGAAAAGGCGUCUCAAUUUCAUGGUCUUCUCCGCCCUAGUUGUUUCUUUAUUACAUCCAAACUUUUUUCCUGCCACGUCAAGAUUUGUUUGCGCCCAUGCGGUCUUUCCAAAUUUGACGCCGUCAGGUGAGCACCGAUUUUGUUUUUGUGAUUUUUUAAGUUUAAUGGUUUAUGUGCACAUUUUGUCGCUAAUCUUUCUGUAAUCCAACGCUUGUAUCACCUUACUGUUAUUUUCUGAGAUUUUGACAGCUUCACUAAACUAAAAUACUAUUAUCGAUUGAAAUGUCUACAAAGUGGCAUUGAGAUUUCAAGUUCUGUAUCGGUGGGGUGAAUUUAAAUCGGAAGAUGCAAUGAUUAUUAGGGAUAAACAUACUUUUUCAGUUAGGCCAUAGCAUAGUACUAAAGGAUUCUUGGUGUGCAAUUAUUGACUCGAUGACGAUGACGUAAACAGACGGAGGCGAUCGAGAACAAGAAAUGUGCAAUCCAAAACAAGCAAACUGACUGAAUGUAAACAAGCUGCGAAUGUUGACAUCAGGAACUGCUGGAGUGGAACCGAAACUACAGUUAACUAAAUAUUCAUUAAAUUAGGAAUUUAUUGAAGAAAGUAUUUGUGUGGAGUCCAAGACCCCUGGGAAGAUGUGACUGUGCAAAUAUGUUUGUACCAUUUCGUAAAUAAGGUCUACGCCGGAAUUAAACUCAACAAAGAUGCGGUUGUGCAAAAAUGUUCCGGAUAGAGUACAGCUAUGCUAAUGCAGUUAGCCUAUAGGCGUAGGCCUACAAUUGUUGUUUCGUAUAUGUGUGCACGUGUACGAGUGGAACUGUUGAAGAAAAAGGGGAAAGAAAAGAUAGGAACGAAGUGUUAUUGCGAAGGUUAAGGUUGAAGGGAUGCGAUCAAGGAUUAAUAAGGUGAUUCAUAAUUCCGUUUAGUCGCAUUUUUUACUAAAGUAGUUGGAAUAAAAUUAAACCCUCAAAUAUUGAAUCAGAUUGAAAUCGGAUCACAAAUUCUGGAAUUGUCUGAAUGAAAACGAAAACGGAAGAUACAGUUAGAUACAGAUCGAGGAGGCUUCAAGGCGAAGAAAGAAGUGAAAGAAAAGCUAUCGUCAUAAGAUAUUGACAUGGUUGAUGGUCGUGUAACGCAACUGGAAAUAAAGGACUGAAUGUACAGAGAAGGUAAAUCUUCAUGGCACAACUAUAACCACAUUUCUCAGAACAAUAUAACUGAAAAUGUAUAUCUGCGAAGAAAAAUGAAGUAUAUCUAUGAAGAAAAUUAAACAAACCGGCGUGAGGAAAGAAACUGUUUGUCAAAAUUUGCAAAUUCAAAACACACUUGAGCUAUUUUCAGUCAACUAAUAUCAUAUUCCCAUAUUAUUUUUCUAGUGAUACACUGCUGAUUCACAUAAAAUUCAAGGGGUCGGCAACCUAAGGCCCGCGGCCCAGAUCGGAGUAAUAUAAUCCGGCCCGCGACGAUUCACUGAAUUAUAUUAUAACCCCACAAAUGUGUAAUUCACACAAUUCCUCGUUUACUGAGUCUAUAAUUUGCUUAUAAUUAGUCAAAUAGCAACAAAACGCAGAAAAGUUGAUGCUAAGUGCAGAUGGGUUCCAAUGGCGCAGAAAAUAGUCAAGUGGAAUUUUUUGAGAUGCAAUGCAAUGAGGAAAUUUAUGCGAGAGAUGUAUCGCUUCCAGGUUUUUAUAAAAAAUAUGUUAAGAAAAUUCUAUCCAAAUUUGACAAACUAUGUGAAAAAGUUACAUCGAUGUUUGGAAGUAUAUAAAUGCUCACGAACAUUACAAAGAACAAGCGGACAACUAAGAUUAGUGAUGCCCAUUUAUAAUUUUUUUUUCUAUCACUGCUUUAUUCAGUGAAUUAUUUAAAAAAAACGUUACCCAUUUAGUGAUGUCGAAAACGUAUCAAGCAUGAUGCAGCGAAGUGUCCAAUUAAAUGCCAUUUUAAACACUACUAUGUUGAGUUCGGGAGUUGUCGCAGUCUUCGCGCACUGCUUAAAAUUCAAAAUUUAACUUGUGAUCUGUGUAAAAUAAUUAUAAUUCAUCGUCCAUUCGUUCUACUUUCUAAAAUAUGUGCGGCCCGCCAAGACUUGCAAUCACUAAUUUUGGCUCGUAAGCGAUAAAAGGGUGCCAACCCCUAAUAGAUCAUUUGAGUAAUACACUGCAAAUUGUUGUUUCAUAUAUGAUGUAACGGGAUGAAGUCUCUGAAGGCGUAUUCGAGAUUUACUUUGGUGUCUAUCCCUUAUAUGGGCAAUGCUUUAAUUUUUUAAUUAUUCACAUCUCGCAUGGAAGCAGUACACAUGCCGAUUGUCUAUAUCAGGGCUACUCAACUAUUUUCAUCGAAUGUCCGCAUACAAAACUUCAAAAUUAUUUGGAUCCGGUCUUUCCAUUAAUUAUAUUUCGGCAUCCUUAUUCGCAUACUUUCUCGACCGGCUAAUGAUUGUUAGCAAAUCAAGAUUGUUAAUUAUGGUGUUAUGGUUCUGUACAUAUAUAUUCAAAACUAGAAAAGUCAUUUUAUAAAAGGGAACUUUAAAAGUGGGUCUAAUGAUCCAAACUAUUAAAUGCGGUCCGAAUCAAAUACUCGAAAGAUCCGGAUUCGGACCGCGGUCCGCCAGUUUAGAGUAGCCCUGGUCUAUAUGACGAGGAAAAAGCAUGGAAGGUGAAUUCCACACAGCCCGUUGUAAUAUAAUGCAUGCAACUAAAUACUAAUUUCGUUGUAUUAUUUCUAAAAUAUAGCCGACCAAAAUGGCACUUUUAAGCUGAUAUUUACGAUUUCACGAUUGUUUCUAAAGUGCUUUUUGUCACUAAAAUUAGAAAAAUAGGCUGCAGAAAUGACACGUGCAGCUCUUAACUUUACCGCAAGUUUUUGAGAAAGUCCAAAUUUCAGACGUAAUUUCAGCUAAAAUUCAAUCAAAUUUUCUCUUUAUUUUUUCCCAAAACUUUUUUUGACCGCAGGUUUUUGGGAAUAAAUCCAAAUUUAUUAACGCUAUUAAUUUAUGAUUCACAUAGUGUAUUUUAAUUGUAAAACUAACCCAUGUUCGCGCGUGUGUACUGUUUCUGUUGUCUUGGUAUAUCUGAUUUUAAUUUUUGCCUUAUAGUUAACGAAAACUUUUUUGCCUUAAUGUUAACGAAUGUUUUCAAGAUAAACUUGAACUUUUUUUUA